CCUACGGGAGGCAGCAGUGAGGAAUAUUGGUCAAUGGACGAGAGUCUGAACCAGCCAAGUAGCGUGAAGGAUGACUGCCCUAUGGGUUGUAAACUUCUUUUAUAUGGGAAUAAAAUGCUCCACGUGUGGGAUUUUGUAUGUACCAUAUGAAUAAGGAUCGGCUAACUCCGUGCCAGCAGCCGCGGUAAUACGGAGGAUCCGAGCGUUAUCCGGAUUUAUUGGGUUUAAAGGGAGCGUAGGUGGAGUGUUAAGUCAGUUGUGAAAGUUUGCGGCUCAACCGUAAAAUUGCAGUUGAAACUGGCAGUCUUGAGUACAGUAGAGGUGGGCGGAAUUCGUGGUGUAGCGGUGAAAUGCUUAGAUAUCACGAAGAACUCCGAUUGCGAAGGCAGUUCACUGGACUGCAACUGACACUGAGGCACGAAAGUGUGGGUAUCAAACAGGAUUAGAUACCCGAGUAGUC
rnacentral:rRNA from 1 species